AGUGAACGCUGGCGGUAGGCCUAACACAUGCAAGUCGAACGGCAGCACAGUAAGAGCUUGCUCUUACGGGUGGCGAGUGACGGACGGGUGAGGAAUACAUCGGAAUCUACUUUUUCGUGGGGGAUAACGUAGGGAAACUUACGCUAAUACCGCAUACGACCUACGGGUGAAAGCAGGGGAUCUUCGGACCUUGCGCGAUUGAAUGAGCCGAUGUCGGAUUAGCUAGUUGGCGGGGUAAAGGCCCACCAAGGCGACGAUCCGUAGCUGGUCUGAGAGGAUGAUCAGCCACACUGGAACUGAGACACGGUCCAGACUCCUACGGGAGGCAGCAGUGGGGAAUAUUGGACAAUGGGCGCAAGCCUGAUCCAGCCAUACCGCGUGGGUGAAGAAGGCCUUCGGGUUGUAAAGCCCUGUUGUUGGGAAAGAAAAGCAGCAGGUUAAUACCCCGCUGUUCUGACGGUACCCAAAGAAUAAGCACCGGCUAACUUCGUG
rnacentral:rRNA from 1 species